GUCCAUCUCUGUCAUCAGGGCAGGAUGGACACUAACUACAUCCACUGUCCAUCUUUGUCACAGGACAGGACAGCCAGGAGACAGGACAGCCAGGAGACAGGACAACCAGGAGACAGGACAGGCAGGAGACAGGACAGCCAGGAGACAGGACAGCCAGGAGACAGGACAACCAGAGACAGGACAGCCAGGAGACAGGACAGCCAGGAGACAGGACAGUCAGGAGACAGGACAGCCAGGAGACAGGACAGCCAGGAGACAGGACAGCCAGGAGACAGGACAGCCAGGAGACAGGACAGUCAGGAGACAGGACAGCCAGGAGAGAGGACAGCCAGGAGACAGGACAGGCAGGAGACAGGACAGGCAGGAGACAGAACAGGCAGGAGACAGGACAGCCAGGAGACAGGACAGCCAGGAGACAGGACAGCCAGGAGACAGGACAGCCAGACCUGCAUAAAUAACAGAGGUUAGGUCCCUAAUUGCUCCAUAUUCCCCAUAUAGUGCACUACUUUUGACCAGGGUCUCCAGGGAAUAGGGUGCCAUUUAGGAUGCAAACGGUGCUAUGCUAAUCAGGCAUCCCACCCGGUGUGGUUGUGAUUUUUUCUUCUGGGGGAUUUGUUUACUGGCGGAUAAUUGAUGGUGCUUGAGGGACAGGCGUGAGUUGGACAUGAAUCACGGGGCGACGCGCCGUGAUAAGGAGCUGAAAGUCGUCCGUAAUUAAGCAGGGCACUAGAGACCAAUUGUUUGCAGAAUGAUUUGGCCGCCGGCUAAUUGACACUAAUUGUUUAAUCUGAUUUUUUCCCCCUCACAACACCGUUAACUAAAAGUCAGGCCACUCUCUUGUGCACUCAUCCACAGCACUGUGCAUUAAUACAGCAGAGGCUCACACAGUGGGGAACCCUAUUCCCUAUAUAAUGCACCUCUUUUGUCAAGUUUCUUGUCAAAAGUAGUGCACUAUAUAGGGAAUAGGGUGCAAUUUGGGACACAAUCACUGUGUUAUGAUGAUAGGUGGUGUUUGGGGGGGGGGGUGAGAUAGAAGGUGGAUCAGAUCAUGAUGUACUGUUCAUUCGGAAAGGAUUCAGACCCCUUGACUUUUUCCACAUUUUGUUAUGUCACAGCUUCAUUCUAUAAUGUAUGAAAUUGUUUUCCCCCUCUCAUCAAUCUACACAUAAUAGCCCAUAAUGACAAAGCAAAAACAGAUAUUUAGAAAUGUUUGCUACUCCCGGGUGGCACAGUGGUUAAGGGCGCUGUACUGCAGCGCCAGCUGUGCCAUCAGAGACUCUGGGUUCGCGCCCAGGCUCUGUCGUAACCGGCCACGACCGGGAGGUCCGUGGGGUGACGCACAAUUGGCCUAGCGUCAUCCGGGUUAGGGAGGGCUUGGCCGGUAGGGAUGUCCUUGUCUCAUCGCGCACCAGUGACUCCAGUGGCGGGCCGGGCGCAGUGCGCGCUAACCAAUGUUGCCAGGUGCACAGUGUUUCCUCCGACACAUUGGUGCGGCUGGCUUCCGGGUUGGAUGUGCGCUGUGUUAAGAAGCAGUGCGGCUUGGUUGGGUCGUGUAUCGGAGGACGCAUGACUUUCAACCUUCGUCUCUCCCGAGCCGCUGCAUGGUUAUUUUCAGGUCUCUCCAGAGAUGUUUGAUGGGUUUCAAUUCCGGGCUCUGGCUGGGCCACUCAAGGACAUUCAGAGACUUGUCACGAAGCCACUCCUGCGUUGUCUUGGCUGUGUGCUUAGGGUUGUUGUCCUGUUGGAAGGUGAACCUUCGCCCCAGUCUGAGGUCCUGAGCGCUCUGAAGCAGGUUUUCAUCAAGGAUCUCUCUGUACUUUGCUUCUUUCAUCUUUCCCUCGAUCCUGACUAGUCUCCCAGUCUCUGCUGCUAAAAAACAUCCCCAAAGCAUGAUGCUGCCACCACCAUGCUUCACCGUAGGGAUGGUGCUAUGUUUCCUCCAGAUGUGAAACUUGGCAUUCAGGCCAAAGAGUUCAAUCUGGGUUUCAUCAGACCAGAAAAUUGUUUCUCAUUGUCUGAGGCCUUUAGGUACCUUUUGGCAAACUUUUGGCAAACUCCAAGCGGGCAGUUUUACUGAGGAGUGCCUUCCAUCUGGCCACUCUACCAUAAAGCUCUGAUUGGUGGAGUGCUGCAGAGAUGGUUGUCCUUCUGGAAGUGUCUUCCAUCUCCACAGAGAAACUCUGGAGCUCUGUCAGAGUGACCAUCGGGUUGUUGGUCACCUCCCUGACCAAGGCCUUUCUCCCCCUAUUGCUCAGUUAGGCUGGGCGACCAGCUCUAAGAAGAGUCUUGGUGGUUCAAAACUUCUUCCAUUUAAGAAUGAUGGAGGCCACUGUGUUCUUGAGGACCUUCAAUGCUGCAGAAAUGUUUUGGUACCCUUCCCUAGAUCUGUGCCUCGACACAAUCCUGUCUCUGUGCUCUACGAACAAUUCCUUCGACCUCAUGGCUUGGUUUUUGUUCUGACAUGUACUGUCAACUGUGGGACCUUAUACAGACAGGUGUGUGCCUUUCCAAAUCAUGUCCAAUCAAUUGAAUGUAGCACAAGUGGACUCCAAUCAGGUUCUAGAAACAUCUCAUGGAUGAAUACUGGAAACAGGAUGCACCUGAGCUCAAUAUUGAGUCUCACUGCAAAGGGUCUGAAUACUUAAGUAAAUGUGAUUUUUCAUUUAUUUGUAAUUUUUUAUUUGCACAAAUUCUAAAAGUCUGUUUUUCCGUUGUCAUUGUGGGGUGUUGUGUAUAUAUUGAUAAGGAUUUUUUUUAUUUAAUCAAUUUUAGAAUAAGGCUGUAACGUAAUAAAAUGUGGAAAAAGUCAAGGGGUCUGAAUAGUUCCCGAAUGCACUGUAUAAUCAUCCCAUUUUCUUAUCUAAAAAAAAAGAUCAGUAAGAAAAGACUGAUCAAAUUAAGAUCCUACAUCUGUAGUUGAUUUAUCGCAUUGAGAGAAGGCUUACAAAUUAACAAUGUUAAUCCCCUCCUCCUCCCCUCCUCCACUAUUUUGUCUGAAUGACAUAUACUGGUUUUUAAUAGCAGCAAUACUUUAUAAUUAAGGGGUCAACAUUACAGUAAAGGAACAUAUUUUAUGGCUCAUUAACCAAAAAUAUUAGGGCGGAGACUAGGCUAUCACAACGGAGACUAGGCUACCACAACGGAGACUAGGCUAUCACAACGGAGACUAGGCUACCACAACGGAGACUAGGCUAUCACAACGGAAACUAGGCUAUCACAACAGAGACUAGGCUAUCACAACGGAGACUAGGCUAUCACAACGGAGACUAGGCUAUCACAACAGAGACUAGGCUAUCACAACGGAGACUAGGCUAUCACAACGGAGACUAGGCUAUCACAACGGAGACUAGGCUAUCACAAUGGAGACUAGGCUAUCACAACGGAGACUAGGCUAUCACAACGGAGACUAGGCUAUCACAACGGAGACUAGGCUAUCACAACGGAGACUAGGCUAUCACAACGGAGACUAGGCUAUCACAACGGAGACUAGGCUAUCACAACGGAGACUAGGCUAUCACAACGGAGACUAGGCUAUGUUGUAAAGGGAUGUUUGCAAUCAUGUCAACUCUACCCAUACAGUAUAUGGGUCAUAGAGAUUCUAUGGUAUACAGUAUUACAGCAUUCUCCUUCUAUCCUAUAAGUGAAUGACAUGAUCUUUAUCGUCUGGGUAGUAAGUACAGAAACCCUCAGGACUGUUGUUUUGAUAAAUACAGGACUUGAAAACACUAAGAAUAUGGGAUUUGACACCUGGUUAUUGAGGAUGAAGGACAAUGGAUAUAUUUCUGAUAUAUUUCAUGCUGUGUCACGAGAGUGGGUAUUGAGAAGACACCUCAUUAUUACAGAGCUAUAGCCUUUAUGUUGCAUUCGUGUGCUUUUGGGAAGUGGGAAACUUGGAAUUGGGAAGUCAUUAGUAUGACUUGAUUGUGUUCAAGUGCUUUUGAAGUCAGACCAAUUCUUCAACCAAUACGAUUUUAGCUAGCUUGAUAAGCUAGCUAACAUUGCUAAUAAUAAAGUUAGCUAGCUUACUUAACAUUGACAAUAUGGUUAAACUAGCUACAUUAUCCACAUUGCUAAGUUUGUUAUUGUCAAAAACAGAUUUUUGUUGAAAAGGUGAAAGAUCAGUAGUGAAAACGUCACAACUCGGCAACUCCAGUAACAACAUUUUCUCAGGGUGUCCCACUUGUAGUUACGACUUUAAAGGUUGAUCAAGUGAAACUUCCCAGUGGAGAACUCCGAACUUCCGUUAACCCCGACAGCAUGUGAACGCCACAUUAGCCAGAAGAACCAGAUUAAUCAUAAUAGUAGCAUAGCCACUUAGUAUAGUCACUUAGCAUCUCUGUUAGCUUGCUAGCCUAAUAUUCUGGAGUAGGCCGAUGAUUGACUUGAUUGACAUACAGUAAGUGAAGGACAUAGGAACAAAAGAGCAACAAACUUAGUUUGAAAACACAUUACAUCAUUAAAAUAGCCAAAUGAUGUAUAUGAAAAAAGCACCAAGCACGUUAUGCUAUGAGCAUCAAUCUUGCACAUUGCCAAUAUCAUUAUGCAGUGUCAGACCAAUGUCUUUACUUUUUACAAGGCUACGAUAACAGAACCAUUUGUUACCUUGUGUUGAGUGUCCAGACGACUCAAUUGACUUAUUUGGGAGUUGUUACUCUUCAUCUGGUUGCUUCUCAACAUUACUGUGUCUCAUGGUAACUGUGUCCCACCCAGGUCAAUACAUCCAUAUCUAUCUGGAGCUCUGACAGUAGGGGAUCAAAGAGAGUGAGUGGCUGGCUGGUUGCUGGUAGGCUGACCAUCCUACAGCGGGAGCCAUUAUUGUUAGACCAAACACUCCUGAACCCCUUGGGGAUAACCCUUCCCUACUCUUUAUUAAAAAUGGUCCGGCACAAAGUGCAUUUGGAAAGUAUCCAGACCCCUUGACUUUUUCCACAUUUGUUACAUUACAGCCUUAUUCAAAAAUGUCUUAAAUAAUGCCAAAGAAAAACACACUUUUAGAAAUUUGAGCAAAUUUUUUUUAAAGUAAAAAAACAGAUACCUUACUUACACAAGUAUUCAGACCCGUUGCUAUGAGAGUCUAAAUUUAGCUCAGGUGGAUCAUGUUUCCAUUGAUCACCCUUGAGAUGUUUCUAAAACUUGAUUGGACAUGAUUUGGAAAGGCACACACCUGUCUAUACAAGGUCCCACAGUUGACAGUGCAUAUCAGAGCAAAAACCAAGCCAUGAGGUUGAAGAAAUUGUCCGUAGAGCUCCGAGACAGGAUUGUGUCUAGGCACAGAUCUGGGGAAGGUUACCAAAACAUUUCUGCAGCAUUGAAGGUCCCCAAGAACAAUCGGGGCCUUGGUCAGGGAGGUGACCAAGAACCCGAUGGUCACACUGACAGAGCUCCAGAGUUCAUCUGUGGAGAUGGGUGAACCUUCCAGAAGGACAAUCUCUGCAGCACUCCACUAAUCAGGCCUUUAUGGUAGAGUGGCCAAACGGAAGCCACUCCUCAGUAAAAGGCACAUGACAGCCCGUUUGGAGUUUGCCAAAACGCACCUAAAGGACUCUCAGACCAUGAAAAACAAGAUUCUCUAGUCUGAUGAAACCAAGAUUGAACUCUUUGGCCAUAAUGCCAAGCGUCACGUCUGGAGGAAACUUGGCACCAUAUGUACGGUGAAGCAUGGUGGUGGCAGCAUCAUGCCGUGGGGAUGUUUUUCAGCAGCAGUGACUGGGAGACUAGUCAGGAUCGAGGGAAAGAUGAACGGAGCAAAGUACAGAGCAGAGCGAUCCUUGAUGAAAACCUCUCCAGAGCGCUCAGGACCUCAGACUGGGGUGAAGGUUCAUCUUCCAAAAGGUUAAUGACCCAGGGCACACAGCCAAGCCAACGCAGGAGUGGCUUCAUGACAAGUCCCUGAAUGUUCUUGAGUGGCCCAGCCAGAACCUGGACCGAUCGAACAUCUCUGGGGAGACCUGAAAAUAGCUGUGCAUCGACGCUCCCCAUCCAACCUGGCAGAGCUUGAAAGUAUCUGCAGACAAGAAUGGGAGAAACUCCCCAAAUACAGGUGUGCCAAGCAUGUAGCAUCAUACACAAGAAGACUUGAGGCUGUAAUCAGUGCCACAGAUACUUCAACAAAGUACUGAGUAAAGGGUCUGAAUACUUAUAUAAACGUGAUACUUCCAUUUUUUGUUUGUAAUAUAUUUGCAAAAUGUCUAAAAAACAGUUUUUGCUUUGUCAUUAUGGGGUAUUGUGUGCUGGUAAGGAUUUUUAUUUAAUUUAAUCCAUUUUAGAAUAAGGAUGUAACAUAACAAAAUGUGUAAAAAUUCAAGGUGUCUGAAUACUUUCCGAAUGCACUCUAUACUUGUCCAAACCAUUAUAACUUCCAAACUCAUAUACAUCCUAAUAAAACUACUCAAACACAUAUCCUGAUGAACAAUACCUCACUGGCAAACAAACCAAGAUUCCCAAUAUGCAAAACGUGGCUGCUAAACUCCCAUCCAAUGUCUACUACCUACGAUGUGUUUGUUGGUGUCAACUUAAAUAAUUUCUUUAGCUCUGCAAAUAUGAAUAUUGGCAAGUCUUAGUCGAUGGUAGAAAAGUGGUGUGUUGUGUCUCGGCGUGAGAUGAGAUGAUGAAGUAGAACUGAUCAUUCCACAUAAAGGGGGAGAAGACUUCCCUCUCUAUUUGAUUAAACCAAGUCUCAAUAACCAGAGCCAUGAUAGAUGGGAUCCUCACAAAGGAACAUUAGAUCCAACAUGAUUACAUUUAACGCCAAUUCACUUUGCAGCUUUUUUAAUUAACACAAACUAUGAUGAGAUAUUAAUGAUUAUUAGAGGGGGGGGCAGCAAAGGGAUGACACCCCCCCUCCCCCUAUACCCCACCACCCCCCAUACAGGACAAAGAGAGCGUGUGCAAAUCCAAACAUACAGAAUUUAAUAGUGUCAUAUUUAGUGAGAGUUCUCUAUGACAACUUCAAAUGGCCACCUUUAAUGUAAUUAUCCAUCUCCAUGACUUCAAAGCCUAUACUGUGAACAUGAAUAACUGUUGUUUUCCCUCAACUCAUAGCUGUUGGGGAUCAAUCAGACGAGAGCCACUCAUGUGCAUCCAGUCAUCUGUUUAGGUCCAAUCCGCUGAGAGAAUGAUUAGCAACUUAAAGAGAGGAUAGUGUUGAACUUCUAAAGACACACUGACAGUACAGUAUCAUGGAGAUGGUGUUAGAGAAGCCUCUAAAGACACACUGACAGUACAGUAUCAUGGAGAUGGUGUUA
ensembl:lncRNA